UGCGUAGGCGGUUUGUUAAGUCAUUUGUAAAAGAUCUCAGCUCAACUGAGUAAGGCGAAUGAAACUGGCAGACUUGAAUACGGUAGAGGUAAGUGGAAUUCCAUGUGUAGCGGUGGAAUGCGUAGAUAUAUGGAGGAACACCAAUGGCGAAGGCAACUUACUGGGCCGGAAUUGACGCUGAGGCACGAAAGCGUGGGGAGCGAACAGGAUUAGAUACCCUGGUAGUCC
rnacentral:rRNA from 1 species